UACAGAGACCUCAAGCGUUAUCCGGAAUCAUUGGGCGUAAAGCGUACCGAUAGGUGGUUUUACAAGUCAGAAGUGAAAUCUCUCAGCUUAACUGGGAGACUGUCUUUUGAAACUGUAAAACUAGAGGGGCAAAGAGGAAGCUGGAACAAACGGUGUAGUAGUGAAAUGCGUUGAUAUCGUUUGGAACACCAAUAGCGUAGGCAGGCUUCUGGGUGCCACCUGACACUGCUAGGACGAAAGCGUGGGGAGCGAUAAGG
rnacentral:rRNA from 1 species